rnacentral:SRP_RNA from 1 species
GCUGGUCGGGGUGUGGCGUGCCUGUAGUCCCGGCUACACGGGAGGCUGAGGUGGGAGGAUUACUUGAGCCCAGGAGUUCUGGGCUGUAGUGCGCUAUGCCAGUCAGGUGUUCGCACUAAGUUUGGCAUCAAUAUGGUGACCUCCUGCGAGCAGGGGACCACUGGGAUGCAUAAGGAGGGUGAACCAGCCCAGGUCAGAAACGGAGCAGGUUAAAACUCCCAUGCUGAUCAGUAGUGGGAUGGCACCUGUGAAUAGCCUCUGCACUCCAGCCUGGGCAACAUAGCGAGACCACCAUCUCU